rnacentral:lncRNA from 1 species
GUCCCCCCUCCGUGCUUGUUAACUGACAUUCCCUGGUGGUCCGGUGGAAUGGACUGUGCAGUGGGGGCCCGCAGCAAGCUCUUACUUACCUUCCCAGCAGCUCCUUUCAGCUCCCCUGUGGCACCGCUCUGACAGCCGCGGGACUCGUGAGAUUUACACAGGGAGCUGAAGGCAGCUGCUGGGAAGGUAAAUAAGAGCUUGCUGCGGGCCCCCCCAGGACCGCCGUGCUUGUAAUGAGCCCGGCGGUCCUGGUAUGUAUUAUCAACAAUAUCAGUAUCUCUAUUGGCCGAUACGAUAUUGAGGAAAAUACCAAAUAUCGGCCGAUAAUAUCGGCCAGACCGAUAAUCGGUCGACCCCUAGCAGUUAUUGAAUAUUUGUAUGAAAUGUGUUAGUAAGUGCAAUGUAUUUGUAAGAUGUGUGUGUGUGUGUGUGUUUGUAUAUAUGAGGGUCUUUCACUGGAUGUUAUUGUGUGUGCAUGCAUUGUUUAUUUUUCUAAAUGUCCCUGUGUGACCUAUCUCACCAUUCUCUUCCACUUUUGGCUCUAUCCCAUCCCCAGGGGCGUUGCUAUGUGGACUAUGGACUUUAACCCAAAAUACAUUUGAUAACCCCUCCUAUAAUUGAAAUUAAGCUUGCCCAAUACUCCACCUCAGGUGUACCGUAAAAAAUAAAAAUGGAUGAAAUGCUCCUCACUAAUGGCAUGCACACCAAAACACGACCACAUCCAUUAUGCUAUGCAGUGUGUGUAGUGAAUAGUGUCUGAGUGUUUGCUGGGAAUGCAGUGUGUGUCUGCGUCUGUGCAGGGGAUGUGGUGUGUGUCUCUGUGUGGGUGUGCAUGGGAUGCAGUGUGUUUACUUUUGGCCCCUCCCCUUCUUGUGCCCUCUUAGCUCCCUUCCCUCCUGUGUCAUCUUUAACCCCUUCCCCUCCUGUGCCCUUAUGUAGCUCCCCUCCCUCCACCCCUUUAUGGGUGCUCACCUUCCCGCCCAGCCAGCCUUCCUGGAGCUCUGAGGGCCUUCAGACUGGAGGUGAAGCUUAGCGAGAGGGGCAGAGCCUACCCCCACAAUGCGCCUCUACUCAGAGUGCCUGGGAGCUGUGCACCCGCCCAAGAUCGGCUAUGGUGGGGCCAAUGACUAUAAUAAGGACCCGUAGUCCUGCCUACGUGUGUAGAUCUGUGUUACAGUCAGGGUUGAGGGCAUUUACACGAACAUGCGAUAGAUAUGCAGCUAAUGUUCAAAAAUGGUUUUGUUUUAAUAACACAAAUAGAAUAAACUAUAGAAACGUCCAAGUGGCGUUUCCUGAAACUGGACGCUUUAACUUUUUUUUUCAAAAACAAAAAAUAUGGUCAAACGUGGGGGGGGGGGAAAUGACAUUUCUUUUAACACAUCAAUGUUAUAAAUGCGGGUUUUUUUUUUUUAAAACUCCCCCCACCCUCCCCUCUGUAGCCUGUCCAUUAAUGUCACCUGUUAGCCCAAAUCCUGCCGUCUGAUCCAUCCCCCUCCCCUUACUUGUCAUAUUGAUGACUGCACCAGAUGGGAGGAUUGAAAUGCCAGCACAGCUGUGAUGUCACAGGGUCUAAUCUAAUAAUCUCUUGGGGUGUUUAUAUAAUCCAAACCCCCCGUCCCCCCGCAUUCGCUCCGUCCUAACAAAUCCC